rnacentral:rRNA from 1 species
UACAGAGGUCUCAAGCGUUGUUCGGAUUCAUUGGGCGUAAAGGGGUGCGUAGGCGGCGCGGUAAGUCGGGGUGUGAAAAUCUCGGAGCUUAACUCCGAAACUGCAUUCGAUACUGCCGUGCUUGAGGACUGGAGAGGAGACUGGAAUUUACGGUGUAGCGGUGAAAUGCGUAGAUAUCGUAAGGAAGACCAGUGGCGAAGGCGGGUCUCUGGACAGUUCCUGACGCUGAGGCACGGAAGGUCAGGGGAGCAAACGGG